UACGUAGGGUGCGAGCGUUAAUCGGAAUUACUGGGCGUAAAGCGUGCGCAGGCGGUUCGUGAUGUCUGGUGUGAAAGCCCCGGGCUUAACCUGGGAAUUGCAUUGGAAACUAGCGGGCUGGAGUGUGGCAGAGGGGGGUGGAAUUCCACGUGUAGCGGUGAAAUGCGUAGAGAUGUGGAGGAACACCAAUGGCGAAGGCAGCCUCCUGGGCCAAUACUGACACUCAUGCACGAAAGCGUGGGGAGCAAACAGG
rnacentral:rRNA from 1 species